CAAGUGCAAGGGGAAAAUGCGCUGAUGCUGCAAAAUUCUUCGCUUCCGUGAAUUCCUGCCGCGGGGUCACGCCACCGCCCCACCGGGUCCACUUUGAGGGGUCGCCAUGAGUGAUGCCAAGCGUUUAAUCUGCCCGGUGACUUCCCAGUGUUUCCUGCAGGGGACCGAGCGAGAGAUAAGAACGCUCCACAGCGCGAGCAGGACUGCCUUCCCUUUGUCAGCCUCAUCCAUCAGGGCUUCCAGAGACCUCCUUCAAGGCCCCCCCCCCGGUCCACGAACACACCUCCGACAUCGUGGGACUAAUCCCACAACAUGUGUACCUAAUGAAGUGGCCAGUGAGUGUCCAUCCGUCGGGGAGGGUCGGGACCUGCGUGCGUUUCAUCGCAUACGAACAAAAGGAACGGUGAGAAGCUGCGGUGUGAAUUUGAACAGCACUUCCUGUCAGGACAGAGGAUGUUCCAACUGCCAAUGUUUGAUGGAUGCGGCAAACGGGAGCACAGGAAGUGGAGGCAGGAGGAGGAACCAGAUGGAAAACACCAUCUUCUGCUUCAGUAGGAGGAACCAGAUGGAAAACACCAUCUUCUGCUUAGGAGGAGGAACCAGAUGGAAAAGAUCAUCUUCUGCUUAGGAGGAGGAACCAGAUGGAAAACAGCAUCUUCUGCUUCAGGAGUUGUUGUAGCUGCAGUAGUAGAUGGUGGUGCUGGCGUCCGACAACAUAGACGAUGUCAGGCUCUCGGGCCCCUGCCCGCCACCCUCGUGGGGCCCGUACGCCAAAGCCGCCAAGUCAACCCGCCCGGAGGAAGAGGCGGAGCUUAAAUACUGCUCGAACUCGCUGCGGUCCACCUCGGCUAGCAGCUCCGAGUGGUGCAUGUGCUCCACGUUGUCGUGAGGGUGGCAGUCAGGUGGCGGGGAGAGCUGCCCCGCCCCGGGGUGGCGCUUGGCCUGGUUGUAGUACAUGGCCUGCAGGGGGUUGGGGCAUCCCAUGUAAGACGGGGGCUGCUCUGGCGCUGAAGCGGGGUGUCGUUGGAGGAGGGUGCUGGCGUGGUGGGUGGCAAGCGGCUCCUGGUGCUGGUACUCGGCCCCUUGAGGGUGGUAGGCGGCGUACAUCAUGUGGCAGUCCUCCUGAGUGGGGAAGAACAUGGAGUCGGACUCCACGGCGUCCAGGGGCGAGGUGUCGGGCGUGGGGAGGCUGUAGCUCUCGUAGCCCCCGAGUGCCUGGGCGUCCGGGCGGUGGUAGUGGCCGAGGGGCUGCUGAGGGAGCUGGAAGCCGUGCUCGUGGUAGCCCAGCCCGUGCAGGGCGUCCCCGGGCACCGAAGGGGCCUGGUGCUCGGACCCCCCGUGGAGCAGGAAGCCGGAGUCGAGCCGCUUAAUUCUCUUCACCUGCUUGCGCCUGCGGGGCCGGUACUUGUAGUUGGGGUGGUCCUGCAUGUGCUGCACGCGCAGGCGCUCGGCCUCCUCCACGAAGGGCUGCUUGUCGCCGACGGGGAGGGCCUUCCACGACUUGCCUGCGGGUCCAAAGAGAGCGUCAUGUCGUUCGGCGUUGUGCAGGUCCGGGUUCUGCUGGGCCAGUCUCUUUCGCUCAUCCUUGGCCCAGACCAUGAAGGCGUUCAUGGGCCGGCGGAUCCUCGGCUCGCUCUUGCCGCGACUCUGGUUCCCCCCGCCGGCUGCCGCACCCCCGGAGGUGGCGGAGGAGGAGACGCAGGGCUCGCUCUUGACCUUGGGCUCCCCGAGGGGGCUGAGGGGGUCGGCCCACUGGCAGUGUCCCAUUCCAGGCAUCAUGACUGACAUCGCGCACCUUGCCUGGUUCUGAUCGUCGCUGGCGUAGCCCGCAUCGGGACUGCUCAUCUCUGUGCGGCGAGGAGGUUCGGAGGCUUACGGUAGGAUUCUUUUCUUCUUCUUCUUCUUCUUUUUUUAACAACUAAAUCACUCGUCAAAGCGGCUGCAAGUCUCUAAGAAGUUGAAAAAGAUUAUUCCUGUCCA